UCUCUUUCAUUUUUCAGAAAAAUUUUGUAUACUAUAAUUGUUAGGUUUUCCUAGCUAUGACGAUAAACGCGCUACGGAAUAGGUGGAACGGACCCGGGGGCGGUACCCGGCGCCUCCACCAAACCUGUGAGAGACGGCACACAGCUUUCAUGGGGGCGAAAUAGGAUCGACGUACGCUCAAAGGUAGAGGCUUUCGUUCGACAUAGUACCGUCGUAAAUGGACUAUAAAUAGUAAAUGGCAAAUCAAAAUUUGCUCUUAAUGGUAAUGUACCUCAAGCCAUCAAUAACAAUGGCAUCGGGGCUGCAGUUGCACAAGCUGCUUAGUUAUCGUUAGCGGUUCGAGGGGCACCGGGCAACAGAAGCCCCUCACU
rnacentral:tmRNA from 1 species